rnacentral:rRNA from 1 species
UACGAAGGGGGCUAGCGUUAAUCGGAAUUACUGGGCGUAAAGCGUGCGCAGGCGGUGAUGUAAGACAGUUGUGAAAUCCCCGGGCUCAACCUGGGAACUGCAUCUGUGACUGCAUUGCUGGAGUGCGGCAGAGGGGGAUGGAAUUCCGCGUGUAGCAGUGAAAUGCGUAGAUAUGCGGAGGAACACCGAUGGCGAAGGCAAUCCCCUGGGCCUGCACUGACGCUCAUGCACGAAAGCGUGGGGAGCAAACAGG